AUUCUUCAGCAGCACAUAUACUAAAAUUGGAACGAUACAAAGAAGAUUAGCAUGGCCCCUGUGCAAGGAUGACACUCAAAUUGGUAAAUCUAAUUUUU
rnacentral:snRNA from 1 species